UUAGGAAUAUUCGUCAAUGGGGGAAACCCUGAACGAGCAAUGCCGCGUGAGUGAUGAAGGUCUUAUUGAUCGUAAAACUCUGUUGUAAGAGACGAAACCACAGUAUAGGAAAUGAUACUGUGCUGACGGUAUCUUACCAGAAAGCCCCGGCUAACUACGU
rnacentral:rRNA from 1 species